UACGUAGGGGGCAAGCGUUGGUCCGGAAUCAUUGGGCGUAAAGAGCGUGUAGGCGGCCAGAAAAGUCCGCUGUGAAAACUCGAGGCUCAACUUCGAGCUGUCGGUGGAAACUUUCUGGCUAGAGUCCGGAAGAGGAGAAUGGAAUUCCUGGUGUAGCGGUGAAAUGCGCAGAUAUCAGGAAGAACACCCGUGGCGAAGGCGGUUCUCUGGGACGGUACUGACGCUGAGACGCGAAAGCGUGGGGAGCAAACAGG
rnacentral:rRNA from 1 species